rnacentral:rRNA from 1 species
GAUGAACGCUGGCGGCGUGCCUAAUACAUGCAAGUCGAGCGAAUGGAUUAAGAGCUUGCUCUUAUGAAGUUAGCGGCGGACGGGUGAGUAACACGUGGGUAACCUGCCCAUAAGACUGGGAUAACUCCGGGAAACCGGGGCUAAUACCGGAUGACAUUUUGAACCGCAUGGUUCGAAAUUGAAUGGCGGCUUCGGCUGUCACUUAUGGAUUGACCCGCGUCGCAUUAGCUAGUUGGGGAGGUAACGGCUCACCAAGGCAACGAUGCGUAGCCGACCUGAGAGGGUGAUCGGCCACACUGGGACUGAGACACGGCCCAGACUCCUACGGGAGGCAGCAGUAGGGAAUCUUCCGCAAUGGACGAAAGUCUGACGGAGCAACGCCGCGUGAGUGAUGAAGGCUUUCGGGUCGUAAAACUCUGUUGUUAGGAAAGAACAAGUGCUAGUUGAAUAAGCUGACACCUUGACGGUACCUAACCAGAAAGCCACGGCUAACUACGUGCCAGCAGCCGCAGUAA